CUGGAAAAGCAAGCAUGCACUAUCAU
rnacentral:misc_RNA from 1 species